GGAUGUGAGGGCGAUCUGGCUGCGACAUCUGUCCCCAUGUUGAUCACCAGGGUUGAUUCGACUGAUCUGGCAGGCUAGGCGGGUGUCCCCUUCCUCCCUCACCACUGCAUGUGCGUCCCUCCCCAAGCUGCGCGCUCCAUCAAAGAUGGCCGCUCCCCUGCUAGAACCUCCAAACAAGCUCUCAAGGUCCAUAUAGUGCAAAAUGCAAGGACCCAUGCAAAGAUCCCAAUUCGAGUUACUGGCUUCCCACCUUG
rnacentral:snRNA from 1 species